GCCAGCAGCCAUAUCACCCUGUAGCCCAAGACUGGUUCCCAUUGAAGCUAAGCAGGGUUGAGCUGGCCAGUACCUGGAUGGGGGACCUCCUGUGAAAACUAGGUUGCUGCUGGAA
rnacentral:rRNA from 1 species